rnacentral:lncRNA from 1 species
GCUCCAAAAAACCUCACAACUCUCUCAAAUUCAUCAGGUUGAGAGGCCAUGGCCACCCCAACACCAUUGUUGAAAGAUGAGCUUGAUAUAGUGAUACCCACAAUCAGGAAUCUUGACUUCCUUGAGAUGUGGAGACCCUUUUUUCAAUCAUACCAUUUAAUCAUUGUACAAGAUGGUGACCCUUCUAAGACCAUUCAUGUCCCUGAAGAAUUUGAUUAUGAGCUUUAUAAUAGGAAUGAUAUUAACAGGAUUCUUGGUCCUAAGGCUUCUUGCAUCUCUUUUAAGGACUCUGCUUGUCGCUGCUUUGGUUACAUGGUUUCCAAGAAGAAGUAUAUCUACACCAUUGAUGAUGAUUGCUUUGUAAGUAUACUGCUAAUUUCCUCUUUUGCCCUUCUUGUACCCUAUUUUGUGUUGAAAAAAUUGGAUCUUUAUGAAUUUUUGGGGUUUAAGAUCUAGUUUUUAGAGGGUUUGUAAUUUAUAUAGAUCUCUCCAACUGAAUGACAUUGAAUAUGCUUUUAUUUGGACAAGAAAUUUGAGGUCCAAUUAAGUGUAUCUUGGGGAUCUGUUGUUAUAUAGGAGUAUAAUAUUUGCAGAGCCUUUGAUGUAUGUAGCGUUUUUCAUUAUUUAGUACUAGUAUAUAUAUGUUUAAGUAUAGUGGAUUCAUUUAGCGGAUCGGAGCUAGUUUUGGAAUUUAAGUGUUGUUGUUUGUUGAUAUUGAUCUAUUAAGUGCUUCUUUUGUUUUAGUUUUAUCUGGUCUUUGUUGGAAGAUUUUAGCUGAUCUAUACGUUUAAUGUGAAAUUAACUGGGCUGAGACUGAAUUCAAGAUACUGUUAUACUAGUUAAGAUAUGAUCUUACUAUUUUGCUGCAUUAGGAUUCGUUUUUUUGGUGUAGUUUUUUCAGAUAAAAGAGGCAGCUUGCUUAUCUUGGUGCUUUUGUGCAUAUCUUUAAUGUCUUUAUUUUCUUGUGGUAUUCGUCACCUUUUCUUUUACGUUCAUUAAGGUCAAUCUUGUAUGAGUUUUAUUUGUUCACUGCUGUUUGAGCCAUCAUGAUACUUCUAUUUCUGAAUUUGAAGCCCUUAAUGUGAUAGCUUUUGUUGAUCUGUUGUUUAAAGGGGUUUGACUGAAUUUUCACCACCAAAUUUGUAGCAUUCUCUACUUCUGCCAUGUCGAUGAUGAAAUCCAUUUCAAUGGCCUUGAUAUCUGAUGGUUGCUUCUCUAACGAGGGACAUUGCCAUACAUUGGCGAUUUUGUCACCCUUUUUGACUAAUUAACCCAAUUAUUUAAUAUCUCUUAAAUGUGAAGAUUCUAUUUGAUUAUCUUGUUACGAUGCCAUGAUCUAUAGGUUCAGUAGCUAAUGUUUGGGAUAUAGCAUUUAUUUGCAAACAUGCUGAAGUGACGCUGAUGUGCAGGUAGCCAAAGACCCAUCUGGCAAAGAUAUCAAUGCACUCGAACAGCACAUUAAGAACCUUCUUUGUCCAUCUACCCCGCAUUUCUUCAACACUCUGUAUGAUCCAUACAGAGAGGGUGCAGAUUUCGUUCGUGGAUAUCCUUUCAGUAUGCGUGAAGGGGCUGCCACAGCUGUUUCUCAUGGGCUUUGGCUCAACAUCCCUGAUUAUGAUGCACCCACACAACUUGUUAAGCCUCGUGAAAGGAACACCAGGCAAGUUCACUUUCCAUAAGACAAAAGUUGUAGAGCUUAUCUAAUUAGUCAUAGACUCAUAGUUGUAGCGUCUGGCUGCUUGCCAGAAAUAAUUAGUGCAUCCAAAUUUUAUACUUCCUCUGUUCCAAUUUAGCUGUCAUGUUUAUUUUAAUAGUUGUUCCGAAAUACUUGUCUUUUUAUUAAAUUAAGAAAGAAUUAAUAUUUUCUCCCACCUUUACCCUUACUCUAAUAAAUGUUCGAGAGAGAUUAAUGUGGUGAAAGCAACGGUAAAAAUAAAUUGAGAUCAAAGAAUAAAUAAGGGAGUUUAGUCAAAUUAUCCUUUAAAUUAAUGUUUUUUUAAGGGGCAUGCAAAAGACAAAAUGUGACAAGUCAAAGGGAAUGAAGGGAUGUAGUAUUUGUAAAGCUUAUCUGUUUGGUCAUUACUCAGAGAUUUUUAUUUUUUUAUUUUUUUCAUUUUUGAAAUUAGUAUCAAUUUCUGUACUUGUCACUAGGUAUGUAGAUGCAGUUAUGACCAUUCCCAAAGGCACUUUAUUUCCCAUGUGUGGAAUGAAUUUGGCAUUCAACCGUGAGCUGAUUGGACCUGCAAUGUACUUUGGGCUCAUGGGUGAUGGUCAGCCAAUUGGUCGUUACGACGAUAUGUGGGCUGGCUGGUGUACCAAGGUAUUGAUAGCAUAUAUCUUUCUAUCAUUAUUUAUCUUCGUAAAGUAGAGCGCUUAUUCAUCUACGGUCCCUUGGAUGUCUCAUAGAGUUGUAAUGUUUGAAGUGGAAAUUACUAAAGUGUGUCAUUUUAAUGUCUAAUGGAUGAAGGAAUCUGACAUAGAAUCAUCAAAAUUGUAGGUGAUAUGUGACCAUUUGGGCCUAGGAAUCAAGACUGGUCUUCCCUACAUUUGGCAUAGCAAAGCAAGCAACCCUUUUGUCAACCUGAAAAAGGAGUACAAAGGCAUCUAUUGGCAAGAAGAGAUCAUCCCGUUUUUCCAAGCUGUAACCCUUCCUAAAGAGUGCACAACUGUCCAGCAGUGCUACAUCGAGCUCGCGAAACAGGUCAAGGAGAAACU